CCUACGGGUGGCAGCAGUGAGGAAUAUUGGUCAAUGGGCGGAAGCCUGAACCAGCCAAGUAGCGUGCGGGAUGACGGCCCUACGGGUUGUAAACUGCUUUUAUACGGGAAUAACGCGCCUUACGUGUAGGGCUUUGCAUGUACCCUAUGAAUAAGGACCGGCUAAUUCCGUGCCAGGCGCCGCGGUAAUCCGGAAGGUCCGGGCGUUAUGCGGAUUUAUUGGGUUUAAAGGGAGCGUAGGCCGCCUGUCAAGCGUGCUGUGAAAUGUCAGGGCUCAACCCGGGACUUGCCGUGCGAACUGGCGGGCUUGAGUGCGCGGAAAGCAGGCGGAAUUCGUGGUGUAGCGGUGAAAUGCUUAGAUAUGACGAAGAACCCCGAUUGCGAAGGCAGCUUGCUGGAGCGGAACUGACGCUGAGGCUCGAAAGCGCGGGUAUCGAACAGGAUUAGAUACCCGAGUAGUC
rnacentral:rRNA from 1 species